GUGCUCACUUCAGCAGCACAUAUACUAAAAUUGGAACAAUAUAGAGAAGAUUAGUAUGGCCCCUCUACAGGGAUGACACACAAAUUUAUGAAGUAUUACAUAUUUUU
ensembl:snRNA U6 U6 spliceosomal RNA